rnacentral:lncRNA from 1 species
GUGCACAUUCUACAUUGAGUUUAUACCAAUGUUUAGCUUUUCCUGCUAAAGAGAACGGAAAUAGCUCCCAUUAGAUGGUCUCAUCGGGCAUGCCCUCUAUGCGAAUGAGGUCACAAAACCGGUUAAACUCUUGUAGGUGUGAAUAUGGGUUUUCCUCACUUUCUCCCAAGAAGGGUUCUUUCUGAACAAACUCUAUGAAAUCAGGGCUUAUCUCAAAACCAUCAAUUGUGAUAGGCUCUAAAUGUUCUGGCGGUCUAAGGUGUGUGCUCGUGGGGUUAGCAUAUUGAUUGAUAGGAGUGUUGUUAUCCAUGCUAACAAAAGAUGGUAAAAGAAAAGAAGGGAUGAGGCAAAGGAUAAAAAGAUGUAGAUAAGAAAAGAAGAGAUGAUGAUUUUUUUAGAUUAAAAAGGAAAGGACAAAGAUAAGAAGAGAGUUAGAGAGUGAUUUUUUUCUUUAUAUAUAUAUAUGUAUUUUUUGUUUUUGAUAACGGCUAGGCUAGGUUCAUAGUCAAAUUAGCAACCGUUUCCUCGGCAACGGCGGCAGAAAGCUUGUUGGUAUUUUAAGACGCGCACAGAUAAGAUCCGCAAGCGCACAGAUACCGUUGUAGCUCACUACGAGGGUUUUAAAUAUCAUAUCCAUAGGGAAAUGUGUGAGUCAACUCGAAAAGGGUGAGUGAAAAGAAUAUAAACUAUACUAGGGAUAAAAUCUAAGUGGUAACAAGAUAAAAGGUAAAGGAAGAUCAAUCUAGUAUGAGGUCGAUAAUAGGAGUAUAGAGAGGAUAACUCAAUCAUGGGUUUCUACUUCUAACUUGGGUAGUCCGUGUCUUCUGCUACUCAACUAGGGAAAUUACUAUGGAAGAUUGCAAACAUAGUACGAAUCUACCAUGUAAUAAGGUCGGAAAGACCUUCCUCCUAGACCAAUAGAUG